GUUUUUAUAGUUGAAACACAACGGUAGUUUUUCAGAUUACUAGUCUAAGUUAGAAUCUUAGUGAGAAUU
rnacentral:tRNA from 1 species